rnacentral:tRNA from 1 species
CAAAGAGUAGUUUUAAAAAGAAUUUUAGCUUUGGGAGUUAAAGGUGAGAGUUAGAAUCCCUUCUCUUUGA